UUUUAUGGGGAAAAUUUUUAUAGAUUCAUAGAUGCUAGGGGUGGAAGGGACCUCAACAAUCAUCGAGUCCGAACCCCCACCUAGGCAGGAAAGAGUGCUGGGGUCACAUGACCCCAGCCAGAUGCCUAUCCAGCCUUCUCUUAAAGACCCACAA